GAUGAACGCUGGCGGCGUGCCUAAUACAUGCAAGUCGAGCGAACGGACGAGAAGCUUGCUUCUCUGAUGUUAGCGGCGGACGGGUGAGUAACACGUGGAUAACCUACCUAUAAGACUGGGAUAGCUUCGGGAAACCGGAGCUAAUACCGGAUAAUAUUUUGAACCGCAUGGUUCAAAAGUGAAAGACGGUCUUGCUGUCACUUAUAGAUGGAUCCGCGCUGCAUUAGCUAGUUGGUAAGGUAACGGCUUACCAAGGCAACGAUGCAUAGCCGACCUGAGAGGGUGAUCGGCCACACUGGAACUGAGACACGGUCCAGACUCCUACGGGAGGCAGCAGUAGGGAAUCUUCCGCAAUGGGCGAAAGCCUGACGGAGCAACGCCGCGUGAGUGAUGAAGGUCUUCGGAUCGUAAAACUCUAUUAUUAGGGAAGAACAUAUGUGUAAGUAACUGUGCACAUCUUGACGGUACCUAAUCAGAAAGCCACGGCUAACUACGUG
rnacentral:rRNA from 1 species